UAAUAUGUAACCUAGUCUCAAAGAGUUGGGUGUUGCCUUGAAAUCUCUUUGAGAUUGUAUUACAUCACUAGGACCUGUUGGGCCUCACUUACCUAAGACCUAGACAAAGGCCUAGGUCAGUCGUGAUGACCAACAGAAAUGUGAUGGCAAAUUCAUGACCACCAAUAUAGAAGUUCACAUAAAAGACAUAAAUUGAAGUACAGAAGCAAACAUUUAACUUGCAAUGGAAAACCCUCUUCCAGCACCAAAAUGAGACUACUAGCCACAGAGGAGGGAUGGGGUGAGCAAGAGGAGACCAAGUCCAUGAUAUUUUUUUCCUACUCUUCAACAUCCUUCACACACAGAAACUGGCAAUGGACCCACAUCUUUAGUCUUGAGGGGACGGGUCAAUGGUGUGCUGGUAAAUGUUUAACAACUGGUUCUCUAGAAGGAAAAUGUGACUUGUAAUGUUUGAUUAUUGACAUAGUGUAAAUACUCCCAUCAUGGUCAAUGUCAAACUCCAAUAGCACAUCACUGAACUUUGAGCUGGAAAGAGAUGUGCACAGUAGGCUCUUGUGAGCUGUCUCAAGCUGGCUUCAUCACAUUAGCAGGAAAGGUGAAGAAACUGAGGCGCAGAAGAAGUGUCUUUUGUCCAAACUCAUGCAGCUGCUAGGAGGUAUCUGUAGGACCUGAACUUUCCACCCAUGUGUCUUCCACCAAUAUCCACGUUAAAAGGAUGAAGCAUCCUACCAAAAGGAUUAAAUAAACCCAAAGUGGAUCGUUUGGAGGCAUACAUAUUGUCUCCAGUGUGGAAUGAGAGAACUUUAGAAACCAGAGGUAAGAACAUCACAAAAUAACAGAUGACUCUGCUUACUCCAAUAUGUGCCAAGAAGCAAAAAUGCCCAGAUGAACAAUCUUACUUAAUAAGAUACUGAAAGGAGAUUCACAGUUCAAUUAAAUCAGCAUGGAUUUGUAAAUACCCAGUUUACGCUCUUCUUUGGUCACUGUCAAGUAAGAACGACAUUACUCAUCACUUUGAAUGAUUGGGGGAUAUUUGGUUCACAGCUUUUAGACAUGCCAGUAUUUUUCCCUGAAGUCAUUUUGUGAAGAAAAAGUUUAAAAAAUAAAAUAUUUUUAUUUUCAAAAAC